GCACCGAGACCCCGCCCGGCCGGCGCCUUCCGGGCCGCGCAGCUCCCCACGCCAGAGCCGGGAGAGGGGCCCAGGCCGCGUCCGUACGGGCCGCUCCACUUCUACAAGCCCGGCCGCGGCCGCCCGGCUCAGGCCCCUGCUGCGAGGGCGAAGCGGGGCCUUUUAAGAGAGCGGUAACGGUAGAGCCGCCGGCCGGCUGCCCUGGGCCCCCGGCUACAGGGUUGCGUAUCGGCAUUGCCCGGACCCAGAGGUGCUGCCACAGCCCCUGUGGGAACUGGUUUCCGGCCUAUACACGGCCUACGGUUCGGUUCACGAAAAGAAAAGGAGUACGUGUGGCACCUUCAACGCCCGCCCCCCAUACAGGUUGUUCUGGGGCCCCAAUCUCUGCGAGUCCUUAAGGAAGGAGACAUUUGUCCUUUCUCCUUCCCUGGAACAUGCUGAACCAUGAACUAACUAACUUUAUCGGCUCAGGACAGGAAACAGGCCAGCAGCGGACAUAGGCUAAGGAGGAAGAUACUUUUGGGGUAGGGCACAAGGGAUUCUACCACUGCAACUACUGUUAUGGUGCAAAAGGAAUCAAAAGACCAACGGCCCCUUUUUCUCUGAUGGCAGUUAUGUCAGUCAGGGUGUGAGAAAAAACCAAACCCACAUCAGAGAAGAGGACUACUUACACCUAACAUCGGUAAGUUACAGCUUCUUGCAAUUCACUGCUAAGUUGCCAAACCUUCUCUUCUACAAGCAGUUUAGACUUUUAUGGGAAAUGAUGCCCAUUCCUCAAGGAGUAGGUAAAAUAAAAUAUUUAGCUCUCAUUUUUAAACAUUCUUUCUUAAAUUAUUGUUGGAUUCACCAAUAGUCUUUCAAAUGUGAAGUUUAAUUAGAGAAUUCAGCUAUACUUCAAAAUCACUUAAUGAAACCCUCACCUGAACA